rnacentral:rRNA from 1 species
AGUGAACGCUGGCGGUAGGCCUAACACAUGCAAGUCGAACGGCAGCACAGUAAGAGCUUGCUCUUACGGGUGGCGAGUGGCGGACGGGUGAGGAAUACAUCGGAAUCUACUUUUUCGUGGGGGAUAACGUAGGGAAACUUACGCUAAUACCGCAUACGACCUACGGGUGAAAGCAGGGGAUCUUCGGACCUUGCGCGAUUGAAUGAGCCGAUGUCGGAUUAGCUAGUUGGCGGGGUAAAGGCCCACCAAGGCGACGAUCCGUAGCUGGUCUGAGAGGAUGAUCAGCCACACUGGAGCGGGGACACGGUCCAGACUCCUACGGGAGGCAGCAGUGGGGAAUAUUGGACAAUGGGCGCAAGCCUGAUCCAGCCAUACCGCGUGGGUGAAGAAGGACUUCGGGUUGUAAAGCCCUUUUGUUGGGAAAGAAAAGCAGCAGGUUAAUACCCCGCUGUUCUGACGGUACCCAAAGAAUAAGCACCGGCUAACUUCGUG